GACGUAGGGCGCGAGCGUUGUCCGGAUUUAUUGGGCGUAAAGAGCUCGUAGGCGGCUUGUUGCGUCAGCUGUGAAAACCCGCAGCUCAACUGUGGGCUUGCAGCUGAUACGGGCAGGCUUGAGUUCGGUAGGGGAGACUGGAAUUCCUGGUGUAGCGGUGAAAUGCGCAGAUAUCAGGAGGAACACCGGUGGCGAAGGCGGGUCUCUGGGCCACUACUGACGCUGAGAAGCGAAAGCAUGGGGGAGCGAACAGG
rnacentral:rRNA from 1 species